UACGUAGGGUGCGAGCGUUGUCCGGAAUUACUGGGCGUAAAGAGCUCGUAGGCGGUUUGUCGCGUCGUCCGUGAAAACUUGGGGCUCAACCCCAAGCUUGCGGGCGAUACGGGCAGACUUGAGUACUGCAGGGGAGACUGGAAUUCCUGGUGUAGCGGUGAAAUGCGUAGAUAUCCGGAGGAACACCAGUGGCGAAAGCGGCCACCUGGACUGUACCUGACGCUCAAACGCGAAAGCUAGGGGAGCGAACGGG
rnacentral:rRNA from 1 species